rnacentral:tRNA from 1 species
CGGGGGAUGGCGCAGUUUGGAUGAGCGCGCCUGAAUGGGGUUCAGGAGGUCGUGAGUUCAAAUCUCACUCCCCCGA